AGUGAGAAUAGAGGUGCAAAAACCAUUAGUACAUAUUCAGAGGUCGAAGGAACCUGUGAUGUUUAUGGAAAGGGGAAUUUGCCGAAGUGAUAAAAGAUUACCUUCGAUUUUAUCACUGGUCCAUCAUUGAAAAAAUGUCGGGCUGUCAUAUAGUGUUGUGCUAUAUGGAGGGCUAUCUCACGC
rnacentral:ncRNA from 2 species